GACGAACGCUGGCGGCGUGCUUAACACAUGCAAGUCGAACGGAAAGGCCCCUUUGGGGGUACUCGAGUGGCGAACGGGUGAGUAACACGUGAGUAACCUGCCCUUGACUUCGGGAUAACUUCAGGAAACUGGGGCUAAUACCGGAUAGGAAUCCUUGCUGCAUGGUGGGGGUUGGAAAGCUUCGGCGGUUUUGGAUGGACUCGCGGCUUAUCAGCUUGUUGGUGGGGUAGUGGCUUACCAAGGCUUUGACGGGUAGCCGGCCUGAGAGGGCGACCGGCCACAUUGGGACUUAGAUACGGCCCAGACUCCUACGGGAGGCAGCAGUGGGGAAGAUUGCACAAUGGGCGGAAGCCUGAUGCAGCAACGCCGCGUGCGGGAUGACGGCCUUCGGGUUGUAAACCGCUUUCAGCAGGGGCGAAGCUUGUGGUGACGGUACCUGCAGAAGAAGCACCGGCUAACUACGUG
rnacentral:rRNA from 1 species